rnacentral:rRNA from 1 species
UACGGGGGGGGCUAGCGUUGUCCGGAAUUACUGGGCGUAAAGCGCGCGUAGGCGGGCUGGUAAGUCCGCUGUGAAAGCCCGGAGCUUAACUCCGGAGGGUCGGUGGAUACUGCCAGUCUUGAAGGUGCUAGGGGGAGAUGGAAUUACCGGUGUAGCGGUGAAAUGCGUAGAUAUCGGUAGGAACACCAGUGGCGAAGGCGGUCUCCUGGGGCAUUCUUGACGCUGAGGCGCGAAAGCUGGGGGAGCAAACGGG